rnacentral:rRNA from 1 species
UACGUAGGGUGCGAGCGUUGUCCGGAAUUAUUGGGCGUAAAGAGCUUGUAGGCGGUUUGUCGCGUCUGCCGUGAAAAUUCGAGGCUCAACCUCGAACUUGCGGUGGGUACGGGCAGACUAGAGUGUGGUAGGGGAGACUGGAAUUCCUGGUGUAGCGGUGAAAUGCGUAGAGAUCCGGAGGAACCCCAGAGGCGAAGGCGGCGCCCUGGCUCGCAACUGACGCUCAGACACGACAGCAUGGGGAGCGAACGGG